rnacentral:rRNA from 1 species
ACAGAAUUGUGAUCUCAUGCAACUAGUACUCAUUUUUCCUUUCCUGUUAAUUUAGGAAAAACGAAUAAAGUGCUUUUUGUGGACAUUGGGGGGUCGUGAAGACUCUAUCAGUGAGUAUUUGUUCUCGGAAGGACUAGAUAUGAAUAUUGAAUAAUCAGACAUAGUACGAUAAGGUUGUAUGUCUAAAGGGAAACAGCCCAGAACAAGAGUUAAUAAGGUUCCAAAAUUAUUGUUAAGUGAAAUUAAGGCAGUAUUUAUCCCAAACAGCCAGGGAAUAGGCUUAGAAGCGGCCAUUUUCUGAAGAUCUCGUAACAGAGCACUGGUUUUGUUUUAAUUAUAUUAAGGAUAAAAGCACCGAAAAUUUAACGGAUCUAAACAAUAUACCGAGACCUUGUCCAAAUAUAUUAAUGUAUUUAAAAUUUACAUUGUACAUUUGGGGUAGCGGAACAUUGGGCAAGUUUCUUAUUAUGCCUUUAUAAGGCAUAAAAUAUAUAAAAUAUUUAACAACCCAAGUGAUAAUGCUGACAUGAGUAACGAUAAAGGGGAAUACCCUCGCCUAAAGCUUAUGGAAUUUAAUUAAAGUUACGGCCUCUAAGUUUAUUAUAUCUUUAAUUAAUUAUUAAUUAAUAAUCCCAAAAGGGGUAAACGAUGAGCAAAUCUAGAAAGUUUACAGAAAAUGACGUUUUUACAUAGUGACAGACGUUCUGGAAAAGUGUAAACUUGACAUAAGGGAGAGCUUUGUAUGCAACGGAGGCAAUAAGUGAACAAAGUAGUACCAUGUCAGUUCAACCGUACCUAAAUACUACCACAAGUAAGCAAGUAGAGUAUAC